CUGUGUGAGGCCUCUAUACUGCCUGGAGGAUAAACAGCCCAUCUGUUUGGUGUGUCAAUCAGAAGAGGCUGGUGGGAGGAGCUAUAGGAGGACUGGUUUAUUGUAAGGGUUGGAGUGGAAUAAAUGGACUGGAGUCUAACAUGUGGUUUCCAUAUGUUUGAUACCAUUCCAUUUCAGCCUACAAUGCCUCCUGGCAGCCACAGUCAUUUUCUGUGGAUUAUUUGGCUGCUCUUACAAGGCAGGAAAGACAACGGAAAAAGAAACCAAAUGUUUACAGAUUCAAGUCAGAAAAGCAAAGAAACCUUUUUGCCCAUCAACACCUGAACACAGACAGCUGUCAGUACAGGGUCUGCUACGAUAAUUUCAUCACUGGCUCACCAGAUGACCUCUAUCAAGACACCCAUGUUGACUGGAUUCCCCCUGUGAAGAUGAGCAAUGCAGCAGCAGCAUCAGUUUCUACUUCUACUUUGUCCUUUUCCAGAUAUGAAAGGAAACAUCCCUCAGUUAUACGAGAUGGUUGUCACAUGAUUCUGUGCCAUUUGAGUAGAAAGCACCAUCACCUUGUUGUCAUGACAAAAGUACCACCUUAAACAAUAUGAAUAUAUAAAAUGUAAUCUGGAACAUGUAAAAUACUAUUGUUUAUGAUAUUGUAAACAUACUAUACUUUAAUAAUAGGCUAUAAUAUUGUAUGGGUGAAAUGAAAAGGAUUGUCAUCUCUGCUUUGCCUAGCCCCAUUGAAUAAAAAAUAUUUCUUAUA